rnacentral:rRNA from 1 species
AUGUCCUCCACAAAGAUAUCGAUUGCCACUAUCAUGGUUCUAGUGCUUUCUCUUCAAGCCAUCAUUGACGCCGAAUUGUCUUAUCAUGGAGGCUAUGAAUAUAUGUGCUUUCCUAGUUAUUGCCAGUGUGAACCGAAAAACAAUCUUCAACUUGGGGGUGGCGAAGCCAUCGUUGUUACCAACACCCUAUCUUGCAAUGUUGGCCUUGCAUAUAUGUGUUAUCCUGCUUACUGCCAAUGUAGACCGAAAAACAAUCUCCAACAUGAGGAUUACCAGGCCAUGGUGCCAAGGCCCAAGAGGAGCAACACCAUCUUUCCCCAAUACACCACUGUUAGUGGCUUCAUUCGGCGUUCAAGCUAUGCCAAAUCUAAUUAG